rnacentral:rRNA from 1 species
AUGCCGGUCCCGUCGCCUUUCCCUAUUUGGCAGCUGGGCGAGCGAACUCGCCGGCGCAGGCCGACACCGGCCGGCGACCCUGUCCCGUCCGCUGCCGAGCCUCCCUCUCCUAUUUCCUCUCUCUUUCUCCCUCCACUCGUCAUCAGCCACUCCUCUUUGCUCUCUCUUUCUCCCUCCUCUCUCUCCUGCACGGACCUGUGGCGCAGGAUCGAAUCAAGCGCCCCCGCCGUCGCCCUUUGCCUGCAGGUCGGAUCUGGCGGGAUCCCCUACUCCUCCACCCCAGCGAGAAGAUCGGCGGCGGCUGACGAGGGAGGACGGGGUGGUGCUGCGCUGAGCAGUGGCCAUACAUGGGCAGCCCAGUUGGGGACGGGACGACGGCCAGAGAGGCGACGGACCGGGAAGGAGGAGAGGAGGCGGGGAUUGGGGGAGGGUCGGGGGAAGAGGGGGCAGCAGAUUGGGGAAGAAAAGAGGAGACUCUCUAUAGGCUCCCCAUCGACGGACCCACGACCCCAGGGCCCGCCCGUCAGCGAUAGAGGCUUGCCGGCAAGGAACGAAGUGAAACUGGACGCGAUUUGCAAUUGCUGGCCGCGUGGAUGGCCUGAGAGGGGCUGCUAUCCUAGCGUCCUUUAUAAGUUAAAUGCCCAGAGGUGGCUGAGACGACCCCUGUCCCACGGCUGUGCAUGCCCUAAGGAGAAGGAAUCCAGAGGAGGCCGCGGACGAACACGUCUGUGGUGUCACGGUGGCACCGGCGCCCUCGCACGCUUGUAUCGGGCUCCGUGGACACGCGGGCGGCCCGACAAGGACUACCCGAAGGGGGUGACCGCGCCUCACACACCGGGAGGUGAUCUAGAAGGGAGACGCACCGACACAGGAGCACGGAGACGCAUCGACACAGCAGCACGCCGCCUGACGCCAACACCAGCGCACCGCACCGAACCUGGAGCUGAGUUUGGGGAUCAAAUCAGCAAGAAUUCGGGUAAGAGAUCAACUGAUCAAGAUCAUCAUUCAGAAGAGCAAUUAUAUAUCACAAAUGGUGAAGAAAAACCUGAUGAUACUAAGAAUGUCGUUGAGGAAAAUCAUGUCGAGAAAAAUAAUGCUGCGGAAAAUGAUGCCGAUCAGCACACGGAAAAUUUUAGUGACCAUGAGAAUCUUGGAAAUGCAGAUGAGCAGGGUUCUUCUUUUGAUAUAUAUGAUCCUAGAACUUGGAAUAUUCUUGACAAUAAAUCAAGAGAUAUUCUCAUUGAAAAAGGACCUAUAAGGGAAUACAAUCUUGUGUUUCCCGAAGAUGAAAUUAGUGGCAGGCAUUUUUCAUAUGAUUACUACACAAGAAAGUUAAGGAAUGGCGAGUUCAGUGAUCGGAGGUGGUUAGUGUACUCUAAACACGUGAAUAAAGUCUACUGCUUUUGUUGCAAAUUGUUUAAAUCUGGAAAAAGCAAAAGUCUGCUAGCAUCCGAGGGAUUGAAGGAUUGGAGACAUCUUAGUGAGAAGCUCAAAUUGCAUGAGAAUAAUGUUGAGCAUAUCACUAACAUGAAUACUUGGAAUGAGGUAAGGCUGAGGCUAAGUAAGAAGGAAACAAUUGAUAAAGACAUGCAACAAGAGAUUGCAAGGGAGAAGGAGCGAUGGAGACUUGUUUUAAUUAGAAUUGUUGCUGCUGUGAAAUUUCUUGCUAAACAUAGUCUGGCUUUUCGAGGAUCGAAUGAGAAAUUAUAUCAAGAUAACAACGGAAAUUUUUUGGGAGUAAUUGAAAUGAUGGCAGAAUUUGAUCCUGUAAUGCAAGAGCAUCUUCGGCGCAUUAAGAAUAGUGAAAUCCAUCAUCAUUAUCUUGGCCAUAAUAUUCAGAAUGAGUUAAUUUCCCUUCUUGGUCGCACUGUUAAAUAUUCUCUGUUGAGGAUAAUUAAGGAUGCAAGGUAUUUCUCUGUCAUCUUGGACUGUACACCUGACGUGAGCCAUCAAGAACAAAUGACUCUAAUUGUGAGGUGCGUAAACAUGUCAAAUUCACUUAAAUCUGUUGGUUUGGAUGUUAAAGAUGUUCGUGGACAAGGGUAUGACAAUGGUUCGAACAUGAAGGGAAAACACCAAGGGAUUGAAGGUGCCAUCUCAUAUUUUAAGAAGUACAAAAAUGACGGCUUUGCAACUAGUCUGGAUAUUGCAAGAUCUAUUGCAAUUGACAUGGGUGUACAACCUUUGUUUCCUGUCAAGAGACGUAUUACUAGAAAAAGACAGUUUGAUGAAAUUAGUGCCAAUGACGAAAAUAACCAGAAUGAAGAAACGCAAGCAAGUGAGGUGGAAUCAUUUAGAGUUAAAUACUUUUUGGUGAUGAUUGAUGUUGCAAUUGCUUCCCUAACUACUAGAUUUGAGGAACUGAAGACAUUUGGGAGCAUAUUUGGUUUCUUGUUCAACUCGAAAGAGUUGAAGUCCUUGGGUGAUAAUGAUCUAAGAAGAUGUUGCACUAAUUUUGUCAACAAAUUCACUCAUGGGUCUCUAUGUAAAAAUUUGUUGCCCCGUGGCAACCUAUCUGAGUCUAACUUCCUUAAUUUAUCAAAAGAUAGUGGUAAUCAUAUUAGCUUUCCGUGUGAUGUGAAUCUGAUUGACACCAAGGUUCUCAAGAAAAAGGUCUAUGAUUCAUUUAAGCUCAGCAAAGAGACUAGAAAGACCGAGAAGCUGCUUGAUGUGGUGACAAAGCUACUAAAGAAUCUGCAGUACCUAACGAUACUUUUAAUCAGUUCAGCGAGGCCUCCUGCCCUCGAGCGCCUAUUGACGCACGCCCUAGAUCAGAUCCCGCCGACGACUGCCCCUCCUCAGCGUCCUCCCGCCGCCCCUCUCCUUCGAUCUGAUCUCCUUCGCACCCCGCCGUCGCCGGCGACUCCUCGGCGCCUCGCCGUCGCCGUCACAUCAGACGCCGGCCACUCCUCCGCGGCCUCACGCUGUCGUCCUCUCCUUCGCAAGGAACACCCGACCCUUCCUCCGCGGCCUUGUGACGCCGACCACUCCUUCGUGGCCUCACGCCGCCCUCCUCUCCCUCCUUCCUUCGUCCAAGGCCAGGACUUCCCCUCCCUGACCCGAUCUGACGGAGAGAGGGCCAAGCCUUGCCACUCCGGUGCAGCAGCAGUCCUUGCGACGGUGGGUGCCGGAGCUCGUCAAGCAACUCGCCGUCGGCGGCCACGACCACCUCAUUCCCUGCCGUGCGUCUCCGUCAACUACUGUGGCAUUGACGACAGCGAGCUAGGAGCCUACGAGGUAGACGCCCUGCUGACUGUGUCGUCAAGGCCUCCACAUGGCUCCUCUUGCGGCAGACUGCUGGUUGUUUGUCAUGUCCUUGAUCACCCUAAUUUAAUCCAAGUCAGGUGGAAGUGGAGACGGGAGAGGAUGAUCGGGAUCAAGUACAUCACAAUCAUCGGCAUCAUGUGGCUCUCCUACACCAACGCAAUUCAGAUGAGGGUGGGUGCCAUGGUCGUCUAUGCUGGGCUUCUGCACGAUCACAUCUUCCACAUGUUCGGUGCUGGAGUGGCUGAUCUUGUGGAAGGUACACCGGUUCAUGAGAAGAAUGCUGAGAAGAUUCAGCUUGCUGUGCUAAAUCAUCCAAACAACAACAGUGGCAUGGAUACAGUUAACAAUGCAAGCUAUUCGCAAUUAAGAGAUCUAGCAAAUGAGUCCAAGUCUCAAAACCAGGUGCAUCUUGAGUAUUUCUUCUCCACGGCGGGUGGUCCAUCUCCAUCGUGGAGUGUUGCUAGAUCAACAACAUCUGGUCUAUCUGAAUGGCACAUUACUGUUCCGAGUCUCCAAGAACCAGCUACAGUACCUAUACAGAGCGGCCACCAUUGGGCAGGGACAGAGCCGUUGAGCGCCCUUGCUCGGUGGUCCACCACCCUUCUCGCCUCCCGUUCGACGCCUCUUCUCCACACCCCUUCGUUCGAUGUGCUUCGACUCAUGAUGUACCAGAGUGGAGUCAGUAUAGAUAUCAGAGUUUACAAACAUGUAAUGAAAUCUACACUACGAAUAAGAAGACUGAAGUGUAGGACGCGCUCAGGGGUGUGCGGCAGCCCAUGGCGGGCAAGGCGUGCUGCAGUGGGGUUAUGGCAGCAUUAUGGUCAUGAGACAGCUAGCAUGCUCAUUGGUAUAAAUUAG